rnacentral:sRNA from 1 species
CUUUAACAAUCCGGAACAAGCUGAAAAUUUGAAAAAAACAUGCUGAGCAAAAUCAGUAUGCGAGUCUCUCAAAGCAAGCAAACCUGAGACAUCUUAGG